CAACUGUCUAAGGUAAUCGCGUGCGGUCUCAGCCGUACGAGGAAAGUCCGAGCUCCGCAGGGCAGGGUGCCGGGUAACACCCGGUGGGGGCGACCCCAAGGAAAGUGCCACAGAAAAGAAGACGCUGAUCACUGGUAACCCGGUCAUCGGCAAAGCUGAAACGGUGCGGUAAGAGCGCACCAGCGAACGGGUAACCGUUCGGCUUGGCAAACCCCACCCGGAGCAAGACCAAAUAGGAGGGAAACAGGAGCGCCCGUCCUUCUCUCGGGUUGGUCGCUGGAGGUG
rnacentral:RNase_P_RNA from 1 species